rnacentral:rRNA from 1 species
GCCGGUGCAUUAGCUAGUUGGCAAGGGUAAAGGGCGUUACCAAGGCGAUGAUGCAUAGCCCGAGUUGAGAGACUGAUCGGGCCACAUUGGGACUGAGACACGGGCCCAAACUCCUACGGGAGGCAGCAGUAGGGGAAUCUUCCACAAUGGACGCAAAGUCUGAUGGAGCAAAACGCCGCGUGAGUGAAGAAGGGUUUCGGCUCGUAAAAGCUCUGUUGUUGGUGAAGAAGGACAGGGGUAGUAACUGACCCUUUGUUUGACGGUAAUCAAUUUAGAAAGUCACGGGCUAACUACGUGCCCAGCAGCCGCGGUAAAU